rnacentral:rRNA from 1 species
AGUGAACGCCGGCGGUAGGCCUAACACAUGCAAGUCGAACGGCAGCACAGUAAGAGCUUGCUCUUACGGGUGGCGAGUGGCGGACGGGUGAGGAAUACAUCGGAAUCUACUUUUUCGUGGGGGAUAACGUAGGGAAACUUACGCUAAUACCGCAUACGACCUACGGGUGAAAGCAGGGGAUCUUCGGACCUUGCGCGAUUGAAUGAGCCGAUGUCGGAUUAGCUAGUUGGCGGGGUAAAGGCCCACCAAGGCGACGAUCCGUAGCUGGUCUGAGAGGAUGAUCAGCCACACUGGAACUGAGACACGGUCCAGACUCCUACGGGAGGCAGCAGUGGGGAAUAUUGGACAAUGGGCGCAAGCCUGAUCCAGCCAUACCGCGUGGGUGAAGAAGGCCUUCGGGUUGUAAAGCCCUUUUGUUGGGAGAGAAAAGCAGCAGGUUAAUACCCCGCUGUUCUGACGGUACCCAAAGAAUAAGCACCGGCUAACUUCGUG